rnacentral:rRNA from 1 species
AGGACGAACGCUGGCGGCGUGCUUAACACAUGCAAGUCGAGCGGAAAGGCCCUUCGGGGUACUCGAGCGGCGAACGGGUGAGUAACACGUGGGUAACCUGCCCCUAGCUCUGGGAUAGGCUCCGGGAAACCGGGAUUAAUACCAGAUACGACCACUUUAGACAUCUGUCGUGGUGGAAAGGAUUCCGGCUAGGGAUGGGCUCGCGGCCUAUCAGCUUGUUGGUGGGGUAACGGCCUACCAAGGCGACGACGGGUAG